CCCUUAGAUGUUCUGGGCCGCACGCGUGCUACACUGAGUAAUUCAAUGGGUAAGGGAACGCUAGAGCAUUACCUAAUCUUGAAAUUUGCUCGUGAUGGGGAUCGACGGUUGCAAUUUUCCGUCGUGAACGAGGAAUACCUUGUAGGCGCAUGUCAUCUUCAUGCGCCGAAUACGUCCCUGCCCUUUGUACACACCGCCCGUCGCUCCUACCGAUUGAGUGAUCCGGUGAGGCUCUGGGACCUGGACGGAAAGAGCGUUUCGCUUGUUCUGUUUGGGAAACUUGGUCGAACCUUAUCAUUUAGAGGAAGGAGAAGUCGUAACA
rnacentral:rRNA from 1 species